GCUGCUGAUUGUCCAAACGCAAUUCUUGUGAAAUCUCGAAUCCAAACCGAGAAUUGUGCCUGGACAUCUGUUGC